rnacentral:rRNA from 1 species
AUUGAACGCUGGCGGCAUGCCUUACACAUGCAAGUCGAACGGUAACAGGUCUUCGGAUGCUGACGAGUGGCGAACGGGUGAGUAAUACAUCGGAACGUGCCCAGACGUGGGGGAUAACGAGGCGAAAGCUUUGCUAAUACCGCAUACGAUCUAAGGAUGAAAGCAGGGGACCGCAAGGCCUUGCGCGUGUGGAGCGGCCGAUGGCAGAUUAGGGAGUUGGUGGGAUAAAAGCUUACCAAGCCGACGAUCUGUAGCUGGUCUGAGAGGACGACCAGCCACACUGGGACUGAGACACGGCCCAGACUCCUACGGGAGGCAGCAGUGGGGAAUUUUGGACAAUGGGCGCAAGCCUGAUCCAGCAAUGCCGCGUGCAGGACGAAGGCCUUCGGGUUGUAAACUGCUUUUGUACGGAACGAAAAGAUACUGGCUAAUACCUGGUGUUGAUGACGGUACCGUAAGAAUAAGCACCGGCUAACUACGUGCCAGCAGCCGCCGCCGUAA